AAGUCGUAACAAGGUUUCCGUAGGUGAACCUGCGGAAGGAUCAUUAAAAAAAAAUUUUUGUCCUUGACGGGUCGUCCGCCCUCUGGCGCGUUCGGCCGGGUCAAUCGGAACAAACCCCCGUGUACCUCUCCCGACUUUGCUUCCCGCGCCUCCGGGCGCGGGCAAGAAACCCUCUUUCCAUUCUUUCUGCGUCAGUCUGAAACGGAAAAACAGAAAAGUUAAAACUUUCAACAACGGAUCUCUUGGUUCUC
rnacentral:misc_RNA from 1 species